rnacentral:rRNA from 1 species
UAUUGGACAAUGGGCGAAAGCCUGAUCCAGCCAUGCCGCGUGUGUGAAGAAGGUCUUCGGAUUGUAAAGCACUUUAAGUUGGGAGGAAGGGCAGUAAGUUAAUACCUUGCUGUUUUGACGUUACCGACAGAAUAAGCACCGGCUAACUUCGUGCCAGCAGCCGCGGUAAUACGAAGGGUGCAAGCGUUAAUCGGAAUUACUGGGGGGUAAGCGCGCGUGGGGGGGUCGUUAAAUUUGAUUUGAAAGCCCCGGGGUCAACCUUGGAACUGCCUCCAAAACUGGGGAGGUAGAGUACGGUCGAGGGUGGUGGAAUUUCCUGUGUAGCGGUGAAAUGCGUAGAUAUAGGAAGGAACACCAGUGGCGAAGGCGACCACCUGGACUGAUACUGACACUGAGGUGCGAAAGCGUGGGGAGCAAACAGG